rnacentral:lncRNA from 1 species
ACAUAUUACCUUCCCCAGACCCCACCUGGUGGGAGUAUACUGGGUAGUUGUUGUUGUUGUAAGACACAAUAUCCAGAAGUAGAACGUCUGUCAGAAGGUGAUCUUGCCCAAUCAGCAUCGGAGUAUCCAACAAUCUGCUCAUGGCCUCGAUCCUCAACAAUAAACCUUUACCUGGAGUUGAUUUUAUAUAUCGAAGAAUGCGAACAACUGCAUCCUAAUGACUAUCACA